rnacentral:rRNA from 1 species
UCGGGAAUUUUGGGCAAUGGGGGAAACCCUGACCCAGCAACGCCGCGUGAAGGAUGAAGUAUUUCGGUAUGUAAACUUCGAAAGAAUAGGAAGAAUAAAUGACGGUACUAUUUAUAAGGUCCGGCUAACUACGUGCCAGCAGCCGCGGUAAUACGUAGGGACCAAGCGUUGUUCGGAUUUACUGGGCGUAAAGGGCGCGUAGGCGGCAUGACAAGUCACUUGUGAAAUCUCUGGGCUUAACCCAGAACGGCCAAGUGAUACUGUCGCGCUAGAGUGCAGAAGGGGCAAUCGGAAUUCUUGGUGUAGCGGUGAAAUGCGUAGAUAUCAAGAGGAACACCUGAGGUGAAGACGGGUUGCUGGGCUGGACACUGACGCUGAGGCGCGAAAGCCAGGGGAGCAAACGGGAUUAGAUACCCCAGUAGUCCCUGAGCGGGCUGGCAAGGCGCAU